ACGGGUGAGUAACACGUGAGUAACCUGCCCUUGACUCUGGGAUAACCUCCGGAAACGGAAGCUAAUACCGGAUAUGACGUACGGAGGCAUCUCCUGUGCGUGGAAAGAAUUUCGGUCAAGGAUGGACUCGCGGCCUAUCAGGUAGUUGGUGAGGUAACGGCUCACCAAGCCUACGACGGGUAGCCGGCCUGAGAGGGUGACCGGCCACACUGGGACUGAGACACGGCCCAGACUCCUACGGGAGGCAGCAGUGGGGAAUAUUGCACAAUGGGCGCAAGCCUGAUGCAGCAACGCCGCGUGAGGGACGACGGCCUUCGGGUUGUAAACCUCUUUUAGUAGGGAAGAAGCGAAAGUGACGGUACCUGCAGAAAAAGCACCGGCUAACUACGUGCCAGCAGCCGCGGUAAUACGUAGGGUGCAAGCGUUGUCCGGAAUUAUUGGGCGUAAAGAGCUCGUAGGCGGUUUGUCGCGUCUGCUGUGAAAACCCGAGGCUCAACCUCGGGCCUGCAGUGGGUACGGGCAGACUAGAGUGCGGUAGGGGAGAAUGGAAUUCCUGGUGUAGCGGUGGAAUGCGCAGA
rnacentral:rRNA from 5 species